GCACCGCUACACACCCGCAAGCCAGGGCAGCGUGCACCGGGCCCGCUGCCGCUCGCUGCGCUUCCAGCUCUCCGUUCUGCUCGCAUUUUGAUGUUGCCUCUCCCGCUCCGCUCCGGCCCCCCGAGUGCCGAAGCUGAGCGAGACGCCUGACGCGCUUUUUCCAAGGCCCCCGGCUAGUGCCGGGGCCGCAGCCCAGGCUUCCUCCGCCGGCUGUGGCCCCGCAGGCCGGCCGGGCCGCGGCAGCUGCUCCCCCGGAGACGGGGAGAACAAUACCAAAUACCAGCUCCGCCGCAGGAACGCGGGAGAUGGCGCGGCGGGGGGCCGGGGCAGUCCGGGCAGGGCUUGCUCACGGCUUGGACGCGGCCCAGAGGCGGCCACUCGCCUGCCGUGCCGCGCGCCGGCGUGAGGCGAGAUGGCGCCCGCCGGGCCCUGACGGCAGGUGGCAGCCGGACACCGCCGCUCGGCCCAGCCGCCGGCUGAGGCGGCGCGUCCUCAGGCACGUCUGCCGAGUCCGCUCGGAGCCGCAUCCUCGCACACGUCUACGGUGAGGCACACGGGUGUUCAGGGAUGAGCUGGUAGCGCGCCCGGCGCCGCCUCAUUGCGUACGUGCAGCAACACACUGCUGCUGCGAGAGGAAGAUCCCGCGCCUCCCGUGAAGGAAAGCACACGCACCACGACGCCGAGACCUCUCCUCGGACCGGGAUGACUUAUCACCAAAGAAAAGUAAGAACACGAAAGGCAAGUCUAUCAGCAUCCCCAAACGUCGAAGCUUGGUGGGCUCCCAUCUAACAGCGGAGCAGCCAUGCACCGCGUCCCUCCCACCUGGGCUCUGGGCCUCAUGGUUACCCUGACAGAAACCCGAGUCUGCACCCACAGCUGCGAAGGCCUAACACUAAUCAGGCAGACGGUUUCUCCGUUGAGUAACAUUUUCCCUCAACGAACUUUAAUCCAGUUUUGAAAUGUAAAGGAGGCUACAUUGGGUUACAUUACAUCAGCUACUCAUGUCAAGCUCUUGAGAAGUGGGACUGAAGGUUUUUGUCUCCAGAAACCUUUUGUUGGCCUACAAAAGGCACUUCCCCCCCCCCCCCAGCUCAGACACCAAAAGGGGGAGUUUUUAACUUCCAAAAAUAAAUCAAAGACACCGGGAUGCCUGCAGGGUAUUUGUUUCUCCAUAGGAACGUGAACCUGGUGGUUUAGUUUAAGAGAGACUAAGCUAAAUCACAUUUUCUAAAUUCCUCCCCUUCCUGAUAGAUCAAGAUCGACAGGAUUGCACUGUUGUUUUAAUGAAAACCUACUACUCCUCAGAGAGUUUCCUGUUUUAGAAAGAUGAUAUUUCAGAGCUACAAAAUUCCACAUAAUUUGACUUGCUAUCACCUUUGUCAGGUCCCUUAACCUCCUCGUGCUUCAGCUGCCCAUUGAUGAAACAUGAGUGAUACUCUCCAUUAAAAAAACUAACAACAACAAAAAAAGCCCAACACUCAUACACGAGACUAACAUCUGCAAAAUACACAUCUGUCCCUGAAGAGACAGGUCUUUAACUGAUACCAUGACAAACUGAAAAUACAUCCACAAGGUGUAAACCUGCGAUUGCUACAUGAGGACUUGGAAAGGACCAUAUAUACCAGGGCAACCUCUGCAUGCCUAGAGCCCCCGCCUAGCCACUUGCAGGGGCAUGUCCAGCUCUUCCACCUUCAUACACGAUCCUUGGUGGUCUGAAAACCUUCUGGGUGUCUGCAAAUUGAAGCAGCCUUUAGCUGUCUAACUGAAGCUAAAGCACCACAUGGCUGCUUGCAAAGUGUCAGGAAAAGACAGUAGUCAUAAAGUCACACUACACUCCAGCCAAGCCUUCUUUCAUCAUCAGUAAUUCAGUAAGCUGGAUCAAUCUCAGGUGCAUGUGAAGGACCAGAAACAUCCCAAGAUACAGCUAAACAUGACUGACCUGGACAUUGCAUCUCUGGAGAGUUUUCAGAGCUUAAGAUCUGCAACUCAGAGCAACAAUUCUUUCAGGACAUACUGAUUCUGGAGAAACAGCAGAUAUUUGAGAUGGCUGAACUAAGUGCAAAUUGACCAGCAGAAGCUGCAGAUGAGCCAAACUCUGACAGCAAAAUAUGUGAAAAGCAAAAAGAUGCUGAAAAAAAGAGUAACUUACCGAGUCCACACAGGAAAUCAAAUACCUCAGUUUAAGAAAGACUCCGUCUUCUCAGGAAUGGCUUAAGAUAGCCCAUUUUGUUUCCAAAGUUAGUAGCACCUUUGGACUCAAGAGGAAAAUACUCUUCAGAGGGCUGCUUGCCGCCUCAACAGCUGACUUUGCAGAAAAGAGCUGCUGCUGUAGGAAGUGCUGCUGUCUUUCCCUGCAAGUCUUGCACC